rnacentral:lncRNA from 1 species
GAAGUCAAAACAUCCACAAAAAUUAGAGGGGAAGAGAAAAUAAAUUUACCAAAUUAAGCCCAUGACACAUGUUGAGACUUCACCUUCAACCCAAGCUUGAAAGAAAAUUAGCCACUCAUAGUUGAACUAGGGGCAAAAUAGGAAUUUAUUAAAAUACGAAGAAAAUACAAGAUGGAGAGGGAAUUACAGAAAAUGGAUCCCAAAAAUGGAUUCAGAGAUAUCAAAUUAGGGGGGGGAGGCCCCCUUUUUAUAGAUACAUGGAGUAAAUCAUGGCCAUCGGAUUAAAAACAGUUUGGACGCUCAGGAUUGCGCCACGUCAUCAGUCAAUAGUCCACGGUUUGACCACGCGGAUGAACAGUAACACGGUUUGACCCGGAUGAACAGUAACGCGGUUUGGUUGAAAAUAAUCCUGUGUGAUGCAUGCACCGUACGCGAGAUUUUUCGUCCACUGAUAUGCUGCCACGUCAUCAUCAACAGUACAUAAGAAUUUUAGUCCAACAGGAUCGUGACACCUCAUCAGUCAAUGCCACAUCAUCGGUCAAUGCCACGUCAUCAUCCGUCUAUGUGAACAGUGUCGUGAACAGUAACGUAUACAGUACCGUACACGUGAAUAGUACCGUACAUGUGAAUAGUGCCAUUUUUCCUUUUAUGCUCCUCCUAAGGUUUUCGACCGUCCUGAGUUCAAAAGUGAUGUCCGUUUUGCCGUCUGAUCUCUCAUUUAUUGUGAAAUGACUAUAAUGCCCCUAAAAUACAUAAAAUACUUAAUUAAAAUAAAACACAUGUAAUUAAAUCACAAGAAGGUUAAAUAUAUAAAAGUAAGGGUUGUUAGUAAGACUUAAAAUGUAAAAUGACGGUUUUCUCCUUUAUAAAUAUGCAUUUUC